rnacentral:rRNA from 1 species
ACGAACGCUGGCGGCACGCUUAACACAUGCAAGUCGAACGAGAGAAGAGGAGCUUGCUUUUCUGAUCUAGUGGCGGACGGGUGAGUAACACGUGAGCAAUCUGCCUUUCAGAGGGGGAUACCGAUUGGAAACGAUCGUUAAUACCGCAUAACAUAAUUGAACCGCAUGAUUUGAUUAUCAAAGAUUUAUCGCUGAAAGAUGAGCUCGCGUCUGAUUAGCUAGUUGGUAAGGUAACGGCUUACCAAGGCGACGAUCAGUAGCCGGACUGAGAGGUUGAUCGGCCACAUUGGGACUGAGACACGGCCCAGACUCCUACGGGAGGCAGCAGUGGGGAAUAUUGCACAAUGGAGGAAACUCUGAUGCAGCGAUGCCGCGUGAGGGAAGAAGGUUUUAGGAUUGUAAACCUCUGUCUUCAGGGACGAAAAAAGACGGUACCUGAGGAGGAAGCUCCGGCUAACUACGUGCCAGCAGCCGCGGUAAUACGUAGGGAGCGAGCGUUGUCCGGAAUUACUGGGUGUAAAGGGAGCGUAGGCGGGAUCGCAAGUCAGAUGUGAAAACUAUGGGCUUAACCCAUAAACUGCAUUUGAAACUGUGGUUCUUGAGUGAAGUAGAGGUAAGCGGAAUUCCUAGUGUAGCGGUGAAAUGCGUAGAUAUUAGGAGGAACAUCAGUGGCGAAGGCGGCUUACUGGGCUUUAACUGACGCUGAGGCUCGAAAGCGUGGGGAGCAAACAGGAUUAGAUACCCUGGUAGUCCACGCCGUAAACGAUGAUUACUAGGUGUGGGGGGACUGACCCCUUCCGUGCCGCAGCAAACGCAAUAAGUAAUCCACCUGGGGAGUACGACCGCAAGGUUGAAACUCAAAGGAAUUGACGGGGGCCCGCACAAGCAGUGGAGUAUGUGGAUUAAUUCGAAGCAACGCGAAGAACCUUACCAGGUCUUGACAUCGUAUGCAUAGCUCAGAGAUGAGUGAAAUCUCUUCGGAGACAUAUAGACAGGUGGUGCAUGGUUGUCGUCAGCUCGUGUCGUGAGAUGUUGGGUUAAGUCCCGCAACGAGCGCAACCCUUACUGUUAGUUGCUACGCAAGAGCACUCUAGCAGGACUGCCGUUGACAAAACGGAGGAAGGUGGGGAUGACGUCAAAUCACCAUGCCCCUUAUGACCUGGGCCUCACACGUACUACAAUGGCUGUCAACAGAGGGAUGCAAAGCCGCGAGGUGGAGCGAACCCCUAAAAGCAGUCUUAGUUCGGAUUGUAGGCUGCAACCCGCCUACAUGAAGUCGGAAUUGCUAGUAAUCGCAGAUCAGCAUGCUGCGGUGAAUACGUUCCCGGGCCUUGUACACACCGCCCGUCACGCCAUGGGAGUCGGUAACACCCGAAGCCUGUAGUCUAACCGCAAGGAGGACGCAGUCGAAGGUGGGAUUGAUGACUGGGGUG